rnacentral:snRNA from 1 species
GCGAGCGCCACUGGAUGUACCGCGGCAUAGAGGAGAGCCUCAGCGACGGGCGCAAGAUCUUCAGGCUCUUCAAGGAGUUCCGGGAGGUCUACAAGAUCAGGCGGGGCAUCAACAGA